rnacentral:rRNA from 1 species
CCCUACGGGACGCAGCAGUGAGGAAUAUUGGUCAAUGGCCGGAAGGCUGAACCAGCCAAGCCGCGUGAAGGACGACUGCCCUACGGGUUGUAAACUUCUUUUAUAAAGGAAUAAAGUGAGGCACGUGUGCCUUUUUGUAUGUACUUUAUGAAUAAGGAUCGGCUAACUCCGUGCCAGCAGCCGCGGUAAUACGGAGGAUCCGAGCGUUAUCCGGAUUUAUUGGGUUUAAAGGGUGCGUAGGCGGAUUUUUAAGUCAGCGGUAAAAUGUCCGGGCUCAACCCGGGCCGGCCGUUGAAACUGGGGAU